GACGAACGCUGGCGGCGUGCUUAACACAUGCAAGUCGAACGGAAAGGCCCUGCUUUUGUGGGGUGCUCGAGUGGCGAACGGGUGAGUAACACGUGAGUAACCUGCCCUUGACUUUGGGAUAACUUCAGGAAACUGGGGCUAAUACCGGAUAGGAGCUCCUGCUGCAUGGUGGGGGUUGGAAAGUUUCGGCGGUUGGGGAUGGACUCGCGGCUUAUCAGCUUGUUGGUGGGGUAGUGGCUUACCAAGGCUUUGACGGGUAGCCGGCCUGAGAGGGUGACCGGCCACAUUGGGACUGAGAUACGGCCCAGACUCCUACGGGAGGCAGCAGUGGGGAAUAUUGCACAAUGGGCGGAAGCCUGAGGCAGAAACGCCGCGUGCGGGAUGACGGCCUUCGGGUUGUAAACCGCUUUCGCCUGUGACGAAGCGUGAGUGACGGUAAUGGGUAAAGAAGCACCGGCUAACUACGU
rnacentral:rRNA from 1 species